UAUCUAUUCAUUUCAUGAAUUUUAUAAUUUUUUCCAAAAAAUUUUGUGUAGCAAUAAGUUGUUACCAUUAUGUUACAGCAGUUACAGCCAUGUUUUCUUUACCAGUGAAUGCGGCCACGACCGUAAUUGAAAUUCAUUGUUCUUAUGAAUAAAACAUAUCAAAUAUAACUUCAAAUCAAUUUUUAAUACACUCUAACAAAUAUAUUUAAGAAGGUGCUUUUCUCAACUGCUGCUCCAACAGCAAUGCCAAACAAAACCUUCACAAUCAAAUGCACUCAGCCAUUGCACUAUUCCCUUUCCUAGUCCUUUAAUAGCAAAUGUCAAAUCUUGGGUGUCGACAAAACGCAGUUGGAACAUGCCUUUGGAAAAAAAAUUUAACAGUAGUUCCACUCCCUUUUAGACUAAACACUUUUAUUAGCUGGCAAACACAAAGAUUGUUGAUGCAGACUACUGCAUUAUGGACAAAAAUUGCAAUUUAAACAAACACAGUAUCAAACCAUUCAAAGGAAAGUGAGGUGGGCCUUAAGAUCAAUUCUUUCCAUUGACCGCAAAAGGAAAAUAUUAAUAAACAAAAAAGAAGGUUGCUUUGUGUCUAUCACGCUCGAAGAACCAAUCUUUAAGGUGGUUUGUUCACAUAAAACUAAUUUCAAUACUCCAAC
rnacentral:misc_RNA from 1 species